rnacentral:tRNA from 1 species
UGCCGAGGUGGUGGAAUUGGUAGACACGUCACCUUGAGGUGGUGGUGCCCGAUUGGGUUUACGGGUUCAAGUCCCGUCCUCGGUAUC